rnacentral:lncRNA from 1 species
CAUCGAUGUCGGCCUUGGGCAGGCUCACAUCCACAUCUGGACCUUCUCCUUUGAAGCCAGGCAUGCUGAAUUUGGGCAUUUUCACCUUGGGCAUCUUCAGGUGCCAGUCUGGGCCAUGAACAUCCACAUCAGGGACAUCAAUGUCAGCUUUGGGCAAAUUAACAUCCACUUCUGGGCCCUCUCCUUUAAAUCCUGGCAUGCUGAAUUUGGGCAUUUUCACCUUGGGCAUCUUCAGGUGCCAGUCUGGGCCAUGAACAUCCACAUCUGGGGCAUCAAUGUCCACUUUGGGCCCUCUGAUGUCAACAUCUGGCACUUUCAUUUCACCUUCUACCUUGGGAACAGACACAUCCAUAUCCCCUUUGACUUUGGGGCCUUUCAAAUGUAAGUCCACAUCAGGCAUGGAGAUCUUGGGGA